CCUAAGGUAGCGAAAUUCCUUGUCGGGUAAGUUCCGACCCGCACGAAAGGCGUAACGAUUUGGGCACUGUCUCAACAACAGACUCGGUGAAAUUGUAAUUCCGGUGAAGAUGCCGGAUACCUGCGACAGGACGGAAAGACCCCAUGGAGCUUUACUGUAGCUUGACAUUGGGUCUUGGUACUACAUGUACAGGAUAGGUGGGAGGCUUUGAAACCAGGACGCCAGUUUUGGCGGAGCCAUCCUUGGGAUACCACCCUUGUAGUACUGGGACUCUAACCAUAGGCCAUGAAUCUGGUCUUGGGACACUGUCAGGUGGGCAGUUUGACU
rnacentral:rRNA from 1 species